rnacentral:rRNA from 1 species
AUACUUAGGGUGCGAGCGUUAAUCGGAAUUACUGGGCGUAAAGCGAGUGUAGGCGGCUAUAUAAGUCGGAUGUGAAAGCCCCGGGCUCAACCUGGGAAUUGCAUUCGAAACUGUAUAGCUAGAGUUUGGUAGAGGUAAGUGGAAUUCAGGGUGUAGCGGUGAAAUGCGUAGAUAUCCUGAGGAACAUCAGUGGCGAAGGCGGCUUACUGGACCAAAACUGACGCUGAGGCUCGAAAGCGUGGGGAGCAAACAGGAUUAGAAACCCCGGUAGUCC